UACGAAGGGGGCUAGCGUUGUUCGGAUUUACUGGGCGUAAAGCGCACGUAGGCGGCUCGUUAAGUGGGGGGUGAAAUCCCAGGGCUCAACCCUGGAACUGCCUUUCAUACUGGCGAUCUCGAGUCCGGAAGAGGUGAGUGGAACUCCUAGUGUAGAGGUGGAAUUCGUAGAUAUUAGGAAGAACACCAGUGGCGAAGGCGGCUCACUGGUCCGGUACUGACGCUGAGGUGCGAAAGCGUGGGGAGCAAACAGG
rnacentral:rRNA from 1 species